CCCGACCUGAGGAUAUUCCAUACAUAUGUCUGUGUGGUCACCCAGUAAGACAUCAAGGAUUAUUUGCUGAAAAUAUGGUACCCCAUUAAAGCUCCUUGCAUUAGAAUGUAGUAGAGCUCCAAGCAAGUUGUAGAUGCACAGCACUCUGAGCAGUCUGAGGACCAUACUGAACUUCAUCUUUCAGCAUGACAACGACCCAAAGCAUACAUCCAAAUCAACAAAGG